rnacentral:rRNA from 1 species
CAGUCGCCACGGGAAUACGAAGGGUGCAAGCGUUACUCGGAAUUACUGGGCGUAAAGCGUGCGUAGGUGGUGGUUUAAGUCCGUUGUGAAAGCCCUGGGCUCAACCUGGGAAUUGCAGUGGAUACUGGGUCACUAGAGUGUGGUAGAGGAUAGUGGAAUUUCCGGUGUAGCAGUGAAAUGCGUAGAGAUCGGAAGGAACAUCUGUGGCGAAGGCGACUAUCUGGGCCAACACUGACACUGAGGCACGAAAGCGUGGGGAGCAAACAGGAUUAGAUACCCGUGUAGUCCCUGUCUCUUAUAC